rnacentral:rRNA from 1 species
CUCAAAGGAAUUGACGGGGGCCCGCACAAGCGGUGGAUUAUGUGGAUUAAUUCGAUGCAACGCGAAAAACCUUACCUGGCCUUGACAUGCCACUAACGAAGCAGAGAUGCAUUAGGUGCGAAAGGGAAAGUGGACACAGGUGCUGCAUGGCUGUCGUCAGCUCGUGUCGUGAGAUGUUGGGUUAAGUCCCGCAACGAGCGCAACCCUUGCCAAUAAUUGCCAUCAUUCAGUUGGGCACUUUAUUGGGACUGCCGGUGACAAACCGGAGGAAGGUGGGGAUGACGUCAAGUCCUCAUGGCCCUUAUGGCCAGGGCUUCACACGUAAUACAAUGGUCGGUACAGAGGGUUGCCAACCCGCGAGGGGGAGCCAAUCCCAGAAAGCCGAUCGUAGUCCGGAUUGCAGUCUGCAACUCGACUGCAUGAAGUCGGAAUCGCUAGUAAUCGCGGAUCAGCAUGUCGCGGUGAAUACGUUCCCGGGCCUUGUACACACCGGCCGUCACACCAUGGGAGUGG